GUCGAACGGAGCUUAGAGAGCUUGCUUUUUAAGCUUAGUGGCGAACGGGUGAGUAACGCGUGAGUAACCUGCCCUAGAGUGGGGGACAACAGUUGGAAACGACUGCUAAUACCGCAUAAGCCCACGGUGCCGCAUGACACUGAGGGAAAAGGAUUUAUUCGCUUUAGGAUGGACUCGCGUCCAAUUAGCCAGUUGGUGAGGUAACGGCCCACCAAGGCGACGAUUGGUAGCCGGACUGAGAGGUUGAACGGCCACAUUGGGACUGAGACACGGCCCAGACUCCUACGGGAGGCAGCAGUGGGGGAUAUCGCACAAUGGGGGAAACCCUGAUGCAGCGACGCCGCGUGGAGGAAGAAGGUUUUCGGAUUGUAAACUCCUGUCGUUAGGGACGAUAAUGACGGUACCUAACAAGAAAGCACCGGCUAACUACGUGCCAGCAGCCGCGGUAAAACGUAGGGUGCAAGCGUUGUCCGGAAUUACUGGGUGUAAAGGGAGCGCAGGCGGGAAGACAAGUUGGAAGUGAAAACCAUGGGCUCAACCCAUGAAUUGCUUUCAAAACUGUUUUUCUUGAGUAGUGCAGAGGCAGAUGGAAUUCCCGGUGUAGCGGUGGAAUGCGUAGAUAUCGGG
rnacentral:rRNA from 1 species